rnacentral:rRNA from 1 species
CUGUCGUCAGCUCGUGUCGUGAGAUGUUGGGUUAAGUCCCGCAACGAGCGCAACCCUCGUUCCAUGUUGCCAGCACGUAGUGGUGGGGACUCAUGGGAGACUGCCGGGGUCAACUCGGAGGAAGGUGGGGACGACGUCAAAUCAUCAUGCCCCUUAUGUCUUGGGCUUCACGCAUGCUACAAUGGCCGGUACAAUGGGUUGCGAUACUGUGAGGUGGAGCUAAUCCCAAAAAGCCGGUCUCAGUUCGGAUUGGGGUCUGCAACUCGACCCCAUGAAGUCGGAGUCGCUAGUAAUCGCAGAUCAGCAACGCUGCGGUGAAUACGUUCCCGGGCCUUGUACACUCCGCCGUCGACGCGGCC